rnacentral:other from 1 species
GCAGCCCUGCUGUGUGCGUGACUAUCGGUAUAGUUUUGAGCCAACAUCUUGACAUAGGGAAUCUGUACUCUGAGUAUGGCACAUAGGCCUCCAUAGAGUGGAAAUGUAAAGUACUCAGGAGGAUACCCACCUGCGUUCGCAGGUUCAAAACAACCGACCACGGCAUAGUGGGGAUUUU